AUUAUUUUUUUUAGAUUAUUUUUUAUUGUUGAAAAAAUUAAAAACAAAUUGUUUUUUACAAUAAUUAAAAUUUAUAAUAUUUCAAUUUUUAAUUUUUAGUUUUAAAUAAAAAUUACAAAUAUGAAAAAUAAAAAAAUUUUGUUAUAAAUUAAAUUAAUUUAUUUAUAUUAAAAAUAUUUUUUAUAAUUUUUAUUUUUUUAUUUUUUUAAAAAAAAAAUAAUUUAAUUAUAAUUAUUUAUUUAAAUUUAAUAAUUAAAUAUAAAAUUUUUUAUUAAAUAAAUUUAAUAAUAAAUGUUUUUU
rnacentral:rRNA from 1 species